CAUAACCGUUACAGAUAACUAUCUCUGUGUUACUAUAUACAAUCUCAAGGUAUAUAGGUAAUGACUGAAGCUGCUGAAGGGAGUGCGGGAUGGCUUCAGCAGUUUUAAAGAUAUCCAUCAAGUGAUUAAUAAAAAUAAAUCUUUGAAGAGUAAAACUGUUACAAGUAAAGAAAAUGUGAUCCAAGGUAGGUAAUGUAAUAAAAUAGAGGAAGAAGAACCACUCUGCAAUUUUACAAGAAGAGGAUGAUUUUUAAUGGAUGAAAUUCUCAACAAAAACCUGUAUAUUAAAUAUUUAAAGCGAAUUUUCAAAGGAGGGAUGUUACAUUCAACCUGCAUUGAUAUUAUGGGUGUGGAACACAUCGCACCAAGCACAAUCCAGCUGAUGUCCAAGCCCAGAUCAUCAUAAUAGGCCUUAAGGCCGAGGAGAGCAACUCUGAGAUUUUCAAUAGCUGCAGACAACUUGUCUGCAGUACAAUAUAUAGUUAAGUCAUCUACAAACUGUAGGUAAUUGUAAAGAAGUUAAAAUAGUUGAAAGUUUUUCCAAAUUGACAUUAUUAUAUGCGCCAACAACAUCAAAGAAAAUACCAACCAAUAUUGAAUUACAAGACAGAGCAUUGUGAAUGUCCAAACAAAAAUGACUCAAGCUCUCUCUAGCCGAACGGCCACGCCGAAAACCGAACUGAUUACUAGAUUCGUGUGAAGAGGAAAACUUUCAA